AAGUCGUAACAAGGUUUCCGUAGGUGAACCUGCGGAAGGAUCAUUAACGAAGAACUUUCGGGGCCUCGCGCCCCGUCUCUUCCCAACCCUGUGCACCGUGCCCUUUUUUGCGCUCUAUGAGUCCAGGAUGCAAUACAACUACAAAAGGCA
rnacentral:misc_RNA from 1 species